rnacentral:rRNA from 2 species
GCAGUCGAACGAUGAAGCUCCAGCUUGCUGGAGUGGAUUAGUGGCGAACGGGUGAGUAACACGUGAGCAACCUGCCCCGAACUUCGGGAUAACAGUUGGAAACAGCUGCUAAUACCGAAUAUGCACCAGAACGGCAUCGUUACUGGUGGGAAAGAUUUAUCGGUUCGGGAGGGGCUCGCGGCCUAUCAGCUUGUUGGUGAGGUAAUGGCUCACCAAGGCGUCGACGGGUAGCCGGCCUGAGAGGGUGACCGGCCACACUGGGACUGAGACACGGCCCAGACUCCUACGGGAGGCAGCAGUGGGGAAUAUUGCACAAUGGGCGCAAGCCUGAUGCAGCAACGCCGCGUGAGGGACGACGGCCUUCGGGUUGUAAACCUCUUUUAGUAGGGAAGAAGCCUUCGGGUGACGGUACCUGCAGAAAAAGCGCCGGCUAACUACGUGCCAGCAGCCGCGGUAAUACGUAGGGCGCAAGCGUUAUCCGGAAUUAUUGGGCGUAAAGAGCUCGUAGGCGGUUUGUCACGUCUGCUGUGAAAACUGGAGGCUCAACCUCCAGCCUGCAGUGGGUACGGGCAGACUAGAGUGCGGUAGGGGAGAUUGGAAUUCCUGGUGUAGCGGUGGAAUGCGCAGAUAUCAGGAGGAACACCGAUGGCGAAGGCAGAUCUCUGGGCCGUAACUGACGCUGA